CACCGACCCUCUCAUGACUCACUGGAAUGGCACGGCUCGGCACGGCUCCCUGUUUAUCAACGCGCACCGCCUCCCGCACAUAGAUGUCGCCAGCAGAACGGAGAGAUUAUCGGGAGAAGAAGCGCAGAAGUGCACGAGCUCCGCGCUCUGAGCCGCCGGAGAGACAAAGACAACGGAGCGCAGCGCCACCGUCGCUGUCAAAGUAGAGCCGCUCCUGGUGGUCACCACCUUUACGGAACUGCUCCCCGUGGUCACCGUCGUCCAUACACACUACUACUCCCUGUGGACUGAGACUCUUGAGGACCAAGGAAACAACUUCACCGUGGGAAAUAACUGCAGAAACAGGAGAAGCACCAGUCUCGCCUCGCCAGUGGUUCAUCAGUAGAUCGACGUGCCAAAUUUGAUAUUGGAGAUGAGGAGGCCCACGGGAACACAAAUUAUCUCAUCAUUCCUUGGGUGAGUGGGAGCGCUGGGAUUCUCUCUAUCUCCUUUCUCAAAGAAAAACCAAAAAGUAAGUAGAUGCCCACAGGAUUGCGAGCGUAACGCGGUAAAGUGAAUUCUCCUCCACGCGUUACGUUGUCUGAUGGAGCCGGCAGCCCACCGCAGGAAAAGAACCAGUAGCUCUCAGCACGCACUUGUGUGUUCGUUCCUCCCAAGCUGACAUGCGUGUAGCGCUUCUGGGGGAGAUGCAACAGUAGGGUAAUUGACUACAACUAUGCUGGGAGAAAAGAGGUAAAAAGGCAAAAGAUGGCAACCUUAGCUUUGCAGCUCAGCACAGACUAACCUCAGCCUCCCACCCCCUGGUGAGACACUAGCGAAAGAACCGCGAGCCGCGCCAACGUCCCACACCAAAUGCAAACACCUCAGGGAUAUUUCUGCAAAUCCCUUGACAGGUUUAAAUAGACUGUGGCUGCCU